rnacentral:rRNA from 1 species
UACGUAGGCAGCAAGCGUUGUUCGGAGUUACUGGGCGUAAAGGGUGCGUAGGCGGCUAUUUAAGUUUGGUGUGAAAUCUCCCGGCUCAACCGGGAGGGUGCGCCGAAUACUGAGUGGCUAGAGUACGGGAGAGGAAAGUGGAAUUCCUGGUGUAGCGGUGAAAUGCGUAGAUAUCAGGAGGAACACCGGUGGUGUAAACGGACUUUCUGGACCGUAACUGACGCUGAGGAGCGAAAGCGUGGGGAGCGAACAGG